rnacentral:rRNA from 1 species
CCUACGGGUGGCAGCAGUGAGGAAUAUUGGUCAAUGGACGAGAGUCUGAACCAGCCAAGUAGCGUGAAGGAUGACUGCCCUAUGGGUUGUAAACUUCUUUUAUAUGGGAAUAAAAUGUUCCACGUGUGGGAUUUUGUAUGUACCAUAUGAAUAAGGAUCGGCUAACUCCGUGCCAGCAGCCGCGGUAAUACGGAGGAUCCGAGCGUUAUCCGGAUUUAUUGGGUUUAAAGGGAGCGUAGGUGGAUUGUUAAGUCAGUUGUGAAAGUUUGCGGCUCAACCGUAAAAUUGCAGUUGAAACUGGCAGUCUUGAGUACAGUAGAGGUGGGCGGAAUUCGUGGUGUAGCGGUGAAAUGCUUAGAUAACACGAAGAACUCCGAUUGCGAAGGCAGUUCACUGGACUGCAACUGACACUGAGGCUCGAAAGUGUGGGUAUCAAACAGGAUUAGAUACCCGUGUAGUC